GGACGAACGCUGGCGGCGUGCCUAAUACAUGCAAGUAGAACGCACAGUUUAUACCGUAGCUUGCUACACCAUAGACUGUGAGUUGCGAACGGGUGAGUAACGCGUAGGUAACCUGCCUGGUAGCGGGGGAUAACUAUUGGAAACGAUAGCUAAUACCGCAUAAUAUUAAUUAUUGCAUGAUAAUUAAUUGAAAGGUGCAAUUGCACCACUACCAGAUGGACCUGCGUUGUAUUAGCUAGUAGGUGAGGUAACGGCUCACCUAGGCGACGAUACAUAGCCGACCUGAGAGGGUGAUCGGCCCCACUGGGACUGAGACACGGCCCAGACGCCUACGGGAGGCAGCAGUAGGGAAUCUUCGGCAAUGGACGAAAGUCUGACCGAGCAACGCCGCGUGAGUGAAGAAGGUUGUCGGAUCGUAAAGCUCUGUUGUAAGAGAAGAACGGGUGUGAGAGUGGAAAGUUCACACUGUGACGGUAGCUGACCAGAAAGGGACGGCUAACUACGUG
rnacentral:rRNA from 1 species